UUCCCAAAGAGCCUGCAGCAGCACUCUGACGUGAAGGACAGAGAAAGUGUGCACAAGUUGACAAAUGGGUCAUUCCUCCCACUAUGCAGUGCCUUUCGGACAUCAGAUAAGUCCGUGGAUCAGUAUGUUUCUCCGCGAUUGUAUCGUUGGGCCAGCUGAACACAGGCUACUGCAAUGACUCGUGGAAGAAGAACAGCUGCUCCAUGAAAACUCCUAAUAAAUCCAACAGGAGUCCCUCAGGCCGUCCGGGACAUGGACAUCCUGUGCCAGUGUGAUCUGAGCACAAGCAUCCAGUUGUGAAACUACAGCACAUCGAGCCUGAGUUUUAGACAUGGGGUGUGACAUGCGGAACAUCAGGCUCACCCCACGAGAAGCAGUGCAUGAUCAACACCACCCUCAGCAAGGAGAUCUGCUGGAAGUGAUGGCUAUCGUUAGAUGCUUGCUCUCUCUCUCUCUCAUAACUUUAGUUGUCCGCUUUGAGCAAAACUUGUAUGUAAUAUGACCUAUUCUAGGAGCCUAUUGUUUGUGUAUGUGUAUCAUUGUUCACUUGUUUUUCAACAAUGUCAGGUACAGGCAGGGAUAACUGGGGCUUUCAGCAAAUAAGGGGUAAGAAAUUAUAUACAUAUAAUUCCCACUGCGCCCAUGAUGAAGUUAACUACAUUACGAUAGUUGGCUGCUUUGCGCAAAACAUGUAUGUAAUAUAACCUAUUCUGGGAGCCUAGUGUGUGUGUGUGUGUAUGAACUAUUUUUGGACCAUUGGCUUCCCUGGAAACAAGAACUGCCAGGAGGCAUGAUGAGAACGCUGAUCCAUUGCCAGUGAAUGGAAUGAUUAACUAAUCAUAUUUCUAAUAAUAUUUGAACUGAGAAUAGGUCUCUGAUCACACUGAUGAACGGUAGAUGACAGUGUCAGCUAGAUGUCUCCAACAAGCUUUCUCUGUCCUUAACCUUGUUCUGAACACCUCAAAAACAAAGGUCAUGUGGUUUGGUAAGAAGAAUGCCCCUCUCCCCACCAGUGUGAUUACUACCGCUGAGGGUUUAGAGCUUGAGGUAGUCACCUCAUACAAGUACUUGGGAGUAUGGCUAGACGGCACACUGUCCUUCUCUCAGUACAUAUCAAAGCUGCAGGCUAAGGUUAAAUCUAGACUUGGCUUCCUCUAAGGUAAUUGCUCUUCUUUCACCCCAGCUGCCAAACUGAUCCUGAUUCAGAUGACCAUCCUACCCAUGCUAGAUUACAGAGACGUAAUCUAUAGUUUGGCAGGACCUGAGCCAUAGGACCAUGCCUCAGGACUACCUGACAUGAUGACUCCUUGCUGUCCCCAGUCCACCUGGCCGUGCUGCUGCUCCAGUUUCAACUGUUCUGCCUGUGAUUAUUAUUAUUUGACCAUGCUGGUCAUUUAUGAACAUUUCAACAUCUUGGCCAUGUUCUGUUAUAAUCUCCACCCGGCACAGCCAGAAGAGGACUGGCCACCCCACAUAGCCUGGUUCCUCUCUAGGUUUCUUCCUAGGUUUUGGCCUUUCCAGGGAGUUUUUCCUAGCCACCAUGCUUCUACACCCGCAUUGCUUGCUGUUUGGGGUUUUAGGCUGGGUUUCUGUACAGCACUUUGAGAUAUCAGCUGAUGUACGAAGGGCUAUAUAAAUAAAUUUGAUUUGAUUUGAUACCAUUCGGCCAUCAGAUUUGCCACCAAUGCUCCUUGUAGGACACUUCACUGCACUCUAUACUCCUCUGUAAACUGGUCAUCUCUGUAUACCUAUCGCAGGACCCACUGGUUGAUGGUUAUUUAUAAAACUCUCUUAGGCCUCACUCCCCCUGAGAUACCUACUGCAGCCCUCAUCCUCCACAUACAACAGCCGUUCUGCCAGUCA